CAGGUAAAAUUCUCCCUUAAAUAGGAUUCUCAUUAUUGUUCUUUUAGGAUCCGAGAGUUAUUUUAUUUGGGUAUCGAAUUGUGAUUGUCACAUUGUCACAGAUCAGCAGUGACUUGUGCAUAAUGAAUUACUGUUCUUUCUUACAGGUUGCAAGUAAACCUCUAAUGAUUGUAGGGUCUAAUUAGCAACAGUGUCAACUCUUUUAACUAGAAAUAAUUGAUUAAAAACUUUCACUGUGAGAGGUAGGAAGAAGCAGGCUGUCUUUCUUUGUCUCUUCUUGAGCUCGAGGAAACUCCCUAGCACCCCUAAAGCAAACCUCAUUGCUCAAGGUGCAGCUCAGGUUUAGCCCCACAGCACUCCCUGGACGUGGAAUCUUCAGGAAUGGUUUAAACCUCACCAUGUGCUCUCUGAGGGCAGACAAGAAUGCCUGCUUCCUUAAGCGUGCAGAAUAGUAAACACUCCCCAAAUUGAACUUAUUCAGAGGAUGACUAAUAUAGAGGGGAAAAAAUCUAAUUGCUGGGCAACUCAGUAUCCCCACCAGUUCGAAUCUGGGUUUUCUGCCUUCAAUUUCCAUGCUCAUUUCAUUUCCCAAUUAUGUCUCCCUUUUAGCUCCACCCAUUCCUAAGAAACACCCAAUUUAAAAAAAGCACUGGAGCUCACGUGUCACUGGAUGAGAAAAGAAACUCUGUGUCACAGCAUGUAAUUCUGAACUAUAUGAUUUUCCUAAAGGUCUUGGACUUCAGGUGAAAGACGUUCUGUCAGCCAGGAUUCAGGAACAUCCCUCAGGAAGAGAGAGCUACCUGCUGCUUUGUCUGUGUAUUGUGCCCAGAGAGAGAAAUAUGUAAUCAGACAGAAAAGAAAAGUGUCUGGGGGGCUCAAGUUUGAGUUGAAACCAGGCUCAGGGUCCACCUGUCCUCGCUGAUCCGUGGAUUUCUGUGUGACCAGGCCUGGAUGAUGGCUGUGGAGUAGGAAAGAAAUAGAAAGAAAAGACCUUGGAGUGUAGAACCGCGAGAAGGUAACGGUACUUUCUUGCCUGGAUGUGUCAGAUGGCACAGGGCAGUGACUGUGCUCCUCGCUGCUGUCCGUGCAGACCUGCAGGCGCCCCCUCACCCAGGUCUGUGUGUUCACCCCACUUAGCCACUCACAGGCCUCCC